CUGUAGUUUCAAAAAUAACACUGACCUUCCCUACUUUUGAAAAUAAUACACAGAUUCUCCCUUUCCGUUAAAAGAGUAUGAAUGACGUUAACUAAUAGGGUGGAUUGACCAUAAUAUCCUUGAACCAUAUUGUGAAAAGACACAAGUGACCCUUAAUGUAAAAAAUCCCUCUCAUUCAUUCUUCUUCUUCCUAGAGUUCACGAUCAGAAAAUCGGAGGGAGGAGAAGAGUGAGCAACGAAGGAAUGGAAGAGAAGAUGAUGGCUUAGGGAUUUUGUUGAAGAUCUGCUCCGAUUAUCUUUCACUGUGCAAAGUGUGAAAGAUUUUAAUUGAUUUGUUUUGUUAUUUACGGCUUCCCAGUAAGUUCUCUAACGAAUUUGUUCAAUAUUAAAAUUUCUGAAAAACAUUAUGCAAUACGUGGGUUUAGGGUUUACGAAUGAAGGGAUUUUUAGAGUUUUGGGAGUUUUGUUAGUGUAAUUUUGAACUAAUUUUUAUGGUUUUAGAGUUGUAUUUUUUGGUAUUUAGGGUUUUUGUGGUUUUUAAUGAAAUAUUGUAAUUUUUUGGAUUAUUCAACACUAUUACUUGUUAGAUUUAGAGUAUAAGAAUGUUUGUUAGAUUUUGUUCAAUGUUGAUAGAUUUUGUUCAAUAUUGUGAAAAAUGUUAGGGACAAUGAGGGAGUGAGACACAUUGUGCAUCUAGGUAGGAUGAGUUGUUCCUAUAGAGAGUGAGAGAUCUUUAGGCUUCCAUGCACACAUGCUACGGCUGUUAUCUCACACAGCAGAAUGAAUGUAGAACACUUUGUUCACCCCUAUUACUCAAAGCAAAAAUAUUUGAUGGCCAAUGGUGGGAUUAUACAUUCAAUAUCAGACCACAAUAUGUGGACACUGAUAGAUGAGUAGCCUUUACAACCACCACCUCUGAAAAGAUUGGUAGGAAGACCAAAGAAUUCCAGCAAAAUGGUUGCUCAUGAGCCUCCAGUAGGCACAAGUUAGGCCAAGAGGUCUUCUACUUUGAAAUGCAAUUGGUGUAAGGAAUUUGGGCACAAUAAGAGGACAUGAAAGAGAGGUCCAAUGAGGGAUGAAAGAUGAGGCAACACUUUAUCUGGCAGAGGCAUGGGUUCUUCAUCUGACAAAGGAGAAGGAGACAGAGGCAGAGGCAUGAGUUCUUCAUCUGACAGAGGAGGCAAAGGCAGAGGUUCUUCAUCUGACAGAGGAGGCAGAUCUGUUGGCAGAGGAGGCAACACUUCAUCUUGAAGAAGCUGAGGCAGAACUUCAUCUGGAAGAGGUAUUUCAGCUGGAGAAUACACAUAUAUUCCAAGAGGGAGCCCUUCAAUGCCUACUCAGUGUGACACAAGUCGCAAGAACAUAAAAUAACUUCACUGCUUAAUGAUGGUUUUUGGAUAUAUGUGUGACAAUAAACAGGAACAUAAUAUAUAGAUAGUGCAUAGUGCAUACCCCCCUCCUCCCCUCCCUUUUUGUUUAUACAGUUAAUUACAUUUUUAAUUCCUAAAAUAUAAAUUUUGUGUCAUUUUAAUUUUUAAUGUAAACAUAAUGAAGAAUAAAGUAUCGGAAGCUUUGGUCGGAUAUCCAAAGCAGAAGGCAACGAAUAAUAAUGGCUAGCGUAUGUUAUUCUAAUUGUCUUUGUUGCUGGUUCAUGGUUGGAAUAUACACAAGUUAUUAGGCAACGAAUAUACUUUUUUGCUUAUUAUUUAAACUUCACUAAAAAUCAAACCGUUUGCUUCCAUCUUAGGAAAAAUGACAAUCCUGGACUCUACCGUAUCGCAAAAACAGAUUAGGUACGUUAUCAUUACCUCCCAACUGUUUAACAAAAGUUGGGUUAAGCCCUUGUUUAAUUGGGGUAUUAAUGGUUCGCACACGCAAUGCAUGUGUAAUUCAAAUAAGUAAAAAUAAAAUAAGAUAUUUAUUAUAUAUAGUAUACUAGUCAAA